rfam:Drosophila virilis strain TSC#15010-1051.87 Ctg01_16827, whole genome shotgun sequence.
GGCCAAUUUCUCUGAGCGAGCAAUGAAGUAAUAUUUGUUCGACCUGAUAUAACAAAUAAGACUUUUUUGGUCGUUAGCAGGAAUUGUCC